rnacentral:lncRNA from 1 species
AGCGAUGUCCUUGUCAUCGGAUUAGACAUGGUUGGAAUGAAAAAUUGUUUCAUAAACAAGUUCAUCUUUUCUUUGCACCUCUCUUGAUCUUCAUGACAGUAAAAACUCCUCCUUUAUUUCUUUUUCUUUUUCUUCUAUUAUUUCUUUUUCUCUUUCUCAAUACUUUUCUUUCUUUCCUUCUUUCUUUCUUUCUUUCUUUCUUUCUUUCUUUCUUUCUUUCUUUCUUUUUUCUUAAUCUCUUCUCU